UUGGCAUGACGAGUGCUCGGCCUUUAGAG
rnacentral:piRNA from 1 species